GGAGAAACACAUUGAACCAGAGUUAAGCCCAUGAAUCCAUCUUAUCAUGGACCUAUGCUUAGUUUCUGAUGGAGAACAAGCUCUCCUGCCAGGAUUUGUGUCUUAUUUUUCAGUCUGUUGUACUACAUGAGAGUGGAACAGAGGUCUUGGAUCAAAAUAGCAAAAUGCAUGCCAAAACAGAGGACUUUUCUUUAUCAAUGCACUGUUCAGGAUUUCAGAAAGAAGCCUUUCAGCUUCACUACUUUCCCCUGACCACUGGGAUGUUCAAAAGAGAAGCAUUCAAACUUGUAUCUUGGAGCCAGCUCACAAUAACUGUGCCUCUACUACUGAACAUCUGAGCCAAAAAAACAGAAAGACAAAAGCCGAAGCCAAACCAAAAGACAAGAAGCAGAGACAGCAAAGAAGACAGAGAAAGACGAAAACAAAACUACCUCACAUACAGACCUUUCUCUGAAGGCUCAAAGAUAAGAAAAACAGCCUCUGUAAGAGUCAGUUUCAAUGUUAGGAGAUGACAGAAGCAUCAGAGAUGACAAAGCAGCUAAGCUGCCCUACUGUCAAGAAAAGCUAAUAAAAAA
rnacentral:lncRNA from 12 species